GACGAACGCUGGCGGCGUGCCUAACACAUGCAAGUCGAGGGCUUUAGUAGCAAUACAAAGAGCACUGGCGCACGGGUGAGUAACGCGUAGAUCAUCUGCCCCUAACACUGACAUAACAGUUCUAACGGACUGCUAAUAUCAGAUGUGAUGAGCAAUCAUUAAAGGGAAACCGGUUAGGGAUGAGUCUGCGUCUGAUUAGGUAGUUGGUGAGGUAACGGCUCACCAAGCCUACGAUCAGUAACUGGUCUGAGAGGACGAACAGUCACACUGGAACUGAGACACGGUCCAGACUCCUACGGGAGGCAGCAGUGAGGAAUAUUGCACAAUGGGAGAAAUCCUGAUGCAGCGACGCCGCGUGUGGGAAGAAGGAGCUUAGCUUCGUGAACCACUGUCGGAGGGGACGAAUGAUAGGUUAGACCUAUUGAGACGGUACCCUCAAAGGAAGGAUCGGCUAACUACGUGCCAGCAGCCGCGGUAAU
rnacentral:rRNA from 1 species